rnacentral:rRNA from 1 species
AGUGAACGCUGGCGGUAGGCCUAACACAUGCCAGUCGAACGGCAGCACAGUAAGAGCUUGCUCUUACGGGUGGCGAGUGGCGGACGGGUGAGGAAUACAUCGGAAUCUACUUUUUCGUGGGGGAUAACGUAGGGAAACUUACGCUAAUACCGCAUACGCCCUACGGGUGAAAGCAGGGGAUCUUCUGACCUUGCGCGAUUGAAUGAGCCGAUGUCGGAUUAGCUAGUUGGCGGGUUAAAGGCCCACCAAGGCGACGAUCCGUAGCUGGUCGGAGAGGAUGGUAGGCCGCCCUGGAGCUGGGCCAGGGUCCAGAGUACUACGGGAGGCAGCAGUGGGGAAUAUUGGGCAAUGGGCGCAAGCCUGAUCCAGCCAUACCGCGUGGGUGAAGAAGGCCUUCGGGUUGGAAAGCCCUUUUGUUGGGAGAGAAAAGCAGCAGGUUAAGACCCCGCUGUUCUGACGGUACCCAAAGAAUAAGCACCGGCUAACUUUGUG